rnacentral:lncRNA from 1 species
GCUGUCCUUUUCUGUUCCUGGAAAUCACAAAAAGUGUGGUGGCUUCGAGAUCUUCUUCGCCUUUUCUUUCUUUUCUUCCCCCCCCCUCCUCCCUUCCCCUCUCCUUUCCUGGCGAGGGUGACUAGGAGCCGGCGAAUCCGCGUUUUUUUCUCUCUCUCUCCCUCCCUUUCCCCCUCCCCACCCCCUCCCCAACAGCCCCCAACUACAGCCGCCGCCGCCGCCGCCGCCUCAAAAUUCAAUAAAAUGAGCUCUUAUUUCGUCAACUCACUGUUCUCCAAAUACAAAACCGGGGAGUCCCUGCGCCCCAAUUAUUAUGACUGCGGCUUCGCCCAGGACCUGGGCGGCCGACCCACCGUGGUGUACGGUCCCAGCAGCGGCGGCAGCUUCCAGCACCCGUCGCAAAUCCAGGAGUUCUACCACGGGCCGUCGUCGCUGUCCACGGCUCCCUACCAGCAGAACCCGUGCGCCGUGGCGUGCCACGGGGACCCGGGCAACUUCUACGGCUACGACCCGCUGCAGCGGCAGAGCCUGUUCGGUGCGCAGGAUCCAGACCUGGUGCAGUACGCCGACUGCAAGCUCGCCGCCGCCAGCGGCCUGGGCGAGGAGGCCGAGGGUUCGGAGCAGAGCCCGUCGCCCACGCAGCUCUUCCCCUGGAUGCGCCCGCAAGCCGCCGGACGCAGGCGAGGCCGACAGACCUACAGCCGCUACCAGACCCUGGAGCUGGAGAAGGAGUUCCUAUUUAAUCCCUAUCUGACUCGCAAGCGGCGGAUCGAGGUAUCACAUGCGCUGGGACUAACAGAGAGACAGAUCAAAAUCUGGUUCCAGAACCGGAGGAUGAAGUGGAAAGAGAACAAAGAUAAGUUCCCCAGCAGCAAAUGCGAGCAGGAGGAGCUGGAGAAGCAGAAGCUGGAGCGGGCCCCGGAGGCGGCAGACGAGGGUGAUGCGCAGAAAGGCGACAAGAAGUAG